GCCCGAUUGGCGGAAUCGGCAGACGCAGCGGCCUCAAAAGCCGUGGCCUCGCGGCAUGCAGGUUCGAGACCUGCAUCGGGCACCA
rnacentral:tRNA from 1 species